GUGAAAUUGUUGAAAGGGAAGGGCAUUUGAUCAGACAUGGUGUUUUGUGCCCUCUGCUCCUUGUGGGUAGGGGAAUCUCGCAUUUCACUGGGCCAGCAUCAGUUUUGGUGGCAGGAUAAAUCCAUAGGAAUGUAGCUUGCCUCGGUAAGUAUUAUAGCCUGUGGGAAUACUGCCAGCUGGGACUGAGGACUGCGACGUAAGUCAAGGAUGCUGGCAUAAUGGUUAUAUGCCGCCCGUCUUG
rnacentral:rRNA from 1 species